rnacentral:lncRNA from 1 species
CGGUAUCUCGUACUUUCCCGGCCUUGUACUUACGGGCCAAUGUACGAGGUAGAGGUCGAGGUACUCCAGCUGCAGGUUGCUGAAACAGGGGGAAGAUGGGGGUAGAAGGCAAGGCGUUACGCUAAACUUGAAGCUUGAGAUGAGUUUGGAGGUCUACCGAAGAGUCUUUUGGACGGCGGAGAGGACGAGAUGAGGGUGGGUGUUGCUGCACCACAGCUUGGAGGUGAUGUAUAUAUAUAUACUAUUAGGACUAUGAAAUCGCUGUUUGACAAUAAGGCAUCAUCAGCCAUCCAAUAUUCCGUAAGCGGAUCAAUCAGCGAACUCAUUCCCCAAAAAGCACAUGUACUGUAUCCCUAGUGUCUCCACAUGAGUAGCUAUGAGACCAGCUGCAUCCAUCAUAUCGACGGGUAUACAGCACACUAGUAUGUCCGGUUAUCUCGAUGUCCCUCUCGAGUAACCUAUGAUCAGGAUUAUUUAGGAUCUGUGUUUAAAGGAGAGUCGGUCUCAUUAUCGUGAUCUCACACGAUCCGAUUCUCAUUGCACAGAUCUAUGGACAUCACAAUAUAUUCAAGCAAUAUACAAUAUAAAGUGAUAAAAUACCAAAUAAUAAUAAUAAGUAAAAAGACUAUGUGUCAGGUCAUACGUGUUAUCACUCACGUGAUUGGCUUACAUGGCACUUAUGAUUAGCAAUCUCUCACUUGAUCUAAAGUCAAUCACCUAUGUGUCUGAUCUCCAUCAGACCCAUGUGAUGCUCAAAGACAAUCUAAGACAAUGGCUUUGUUAGUGGAUCUGCGAUAUUAUCUUCGGAUGGAACUCUUUCCACUACUACAUCUCCUCUGGUCACGAUCUCUCUAACAGGUUGGAACCUCUUCAGAACACUUUUGAUGAGACCCGGGUUCCUUUAUUUGAGCAAUCGCCCUAUUGUUGCUACAAUAUAAGGGAAUCGACUCCUCGCUACCCGGUAUGACUCAUAGAUUUAUGAUAAACUUCUUCAUCCAGGCUCCUGCCUUUGCUGCAAUAAUGUAAUCUGCCUCUGUGUUGAAUUAGCAGUAGUAUCUUGCUUGGAACUCUUCCAGUAUACUGCUCCUCUAUUCAUGGUGUACACAUACCUCGAAUUCGACUUUCUAUCAUUAACAUCGGAUUGAAAACUCGAGUCCAUGUAGCCUUCAACUCUAAGGCUACUACCUCUAUAUACUAGUAAAAGAUCCUUAGUUCUUCUCAAGUAUUUAUAGAAAAACUUUACUAUUUUCCAAUGCUCCAAGCUUAGAUCUGCCUGAUACCUACUCGUGACACUCAAAGCAUGCGCUAUAUUAGGCUUGACACAUAGCAUGACAUACAUGAUAGACCCUAUCACUAAGGCAUAGGGUAUCCUUGUUGAAUCUCGGAUUUUGAUGAUGAAACUAAUUAAUUAUGUUUAGAUGUUUAACUGCAUUUUGAGUGAUGCAGGUCUACUCGAUUAAGAUUAGACAGUUGACGCAGGAGGAAUUGACGUUGCGCCGGAGGAGAUCACAUCAGGAUAUUGGACGGCAGAAGGCUUCAGACGUCAGGCAUCGGGCCAAGGAGAGCGGAAUUGCGCCAAGGAUAUCGGGGUUGCGGAGGUCAACUACCGAUUGGGCAACAAGCCACAAGAGAGGAUGAUGCGCUGAAGAAUCGGACGAAGCGCCAACCAAUGACGUGCCGGGCAACAGAAUGUCAAUUCGCGUUGUAAUAAUUAUCUAGAUCGGAGUAGAGUUUUGGCUUGUGUGUGCAGGAUUAACUAUGAUAACGAUGAAGACAUAAAGUGAAACAAAGUGUCGGAGUCAGGCGCGAAGGAUUCGUUGCAAGUUCGAGAGUUCGACGAAAGUCCGAAGGUUCAUCGGGAAUGCUACCGGAACUAGCCGAGAAUGAGUAGGGAGCUUGCCGAAGGGUUUUUAGGGAGCUUGCCGAAUGCCGGAAGGUUCGUUGGAAGUUCGCGGAGCUCGCCGAGAAAGGUCAGAGCUUGCCGAAGAAGCUCAUUGGAACUCGCCAAGAUCAAAUCGUGAAGUCUAGGAGCUUGCUGGGAGUCCGCAAAAUGGUUUCCGAGAGUUUAUCGGAAGACCGCCGGAAGCUCGCCGGAAGAAGUCUUGACUUGCGGACUUUGUAAUAGCUUAGAAAAUAUCUUUAAAUUCGUAGUUAGCACAUUAAUUAGGGUUAGGAUUAUGUGUUAAUCCUAUAACCCAAGUAUGGGCCAAUUGGGCCCGAGUUCGGACUGGUUUAGGCCAAGUUUGGAGCCCAACCAGUGAGCUGAAAUAGUGUAGGCGGUGGCACUGCCCAGAACCCGAGAACUGAGCGGUGGCACUGCUGGACUGAGCGGUGGCACCGCCCAACACCGAGAGGUUUUAUCAUGACUAUGAGUGAGAAGUUUUAUCAUAGUCAACACCUUGCCUUUGACAAUACCCCUUAGCCACUAGCUUUGCUUUAUAGGUCUCUACCUUUCCAUCUACUCCGAUCUUUUUUUUUAAGAUCCACUUGCAAUCGAUGGGUACAAUACCCUCGAGCGCAUCAACUAGGUUUCAAACCUUGUUGGAGUACAUGGAAUCUAUCUUAGAAUUCAUGGCUUAUUGCCACUUCCUGGAGUCUAUACUUAUAAUAGCCUCUUUGUAAGUCUGAGGAUCAAUAUUCUCAACAUUUGCUCCUCCAAUAUGUCCCACAUAUCUCUCAAGAGGAUGGGACACUCUAUCAGACCUACAUAAAGUUUGAACUUGUGUGUUAGAUACCUGAACAGACUUGGGCUGUAGAGUGGUGCUUGAGCUAGGUUCUCCAACCUCGCUCAACUCUAUCAUGAUCUCACUAUCCCACCAAGAAUGUAUUCCUUCUCAAGGAACACUGCUCUUUUGGCUACAAAGACCUUUUAGUUCUUGAGAUGAUAGAAAUAAUACCCAUAAGUUUCUUUGGGGUAUCCCACGAACUUGCACCGCUCCAUCUUUGAUUCUAACUUAUCGAGGUUGUGUCUUUUAAUGUGGGCAGGGCAACCCCAAAUCUUAACAACCUUAAGAUCGGGCUUCUUCCCUUUUCACAUCUCAUAUGGUGUAGACACUUCCAAUUUAGUAAGAACUCUAUUCAAAAGGUAAGCUACGGUCUCUAGGGCAUAUCCCCAGAAUAAGAUGGGUAGGUUAGUAAAACUCAUCAUGGACCGCACCAUGUCUAACAGUGUACGAUUCCUCCUUUCGGAUACACCAUUGAGCUGAGGUGUAUAAGGAGGUGUCCAUUGGGAUGAAUCUCAUUGUCCUUGAGGAACUGGGUGAACUCUGUACUCAAGUACUCACCUCCUCGAUCUGAUCGAAGAGUCUUGAUACUCUUUCCAGUUUAGUUCUCCACUUCAUUCUUAUACUCUUUGAAUUUCUCAAAGGCCUCGAACUUGUACUUCAUUAAGUAUACAUGUCUACCUUGAGAAAUUAUCAGUAAAGGUAAUGAAGUAAGAGUAACCACCAAUGGCAUAAGUUGACAUGGGUCCACAUAUAUCACUAUGUAUGAGUUCCAGUAGCUUAGUGGCUCUCUCUCCAAUCUCAAUAAAUAGAGAAUUAGUUAGUUUUCCACAAAGGCAAGGCUAGUAAGUUGCAUAUGACUCAUAGUCGAAUGUAUCUAGAUAUCCAUCAUUUAGCAACUUUUGAAUUAUUUUCUUAUGGACGUGACCUAGCCUACAAUAUCAUAGGCAUACACUAUUCACCUCAUCUCGUUUCCUCUUGGACACACUUACAUUCAUAAUAUAUGGAGCAGUGUCUAGCAUAAGCAAACCAUUAUACAAUAUUCCUCUCUCCAAUCUCCUUGACUUUGCUAGAAUCUAUACAAAUUACAGAUAUGAUAAACAAUACCAGUAUCCAAUACUAAUGCACUAUCACAAAAAUCUAACAACUGGGGACUGAUCAUGAAUGUACCUAAAGCUUCUCCAAGCUUUGAUUUUUCCCUCUCCAUAAGGUACUCUUUGUAGUUCCUCUUCUAGUGCUCAUCUUUGCCAUAGUGGAAACAUUAACCUUUGUCCUUUGUUGGGUCUUUCUUAACAACCUUUGCUUUACCAGGUCUGCCUUGCCCUUGCUCUUUUUAAUGGACUUUUUUGCUUUCCUUUUCUUUCUAGUCUGACUAGUGUAGAGAAUUGACUUCUCUUUUUUGAUAUUGCUCUAUGCCUCCCUCAACAUAUUAAGGAGCUUAUAAAGAGUCACCUCAAGCUUGUUCAUAUUAAAAUUCAUUAUGAACUGUUUAAAGAAUCUGGUAGGGACUAAAGCACAAGAUCCACAUACAAGUUAUCCUUUAGGACCAUUCCUAGACUUGUGAGUUUCUCUAUCCACUCAAUCAUCUGUAGGAUAUAGUUUUGAACUAGUGUUUCCUCAGUCAUCCUAGCGCGGAAGAUGUUUUUAAAAACCUCAUAUCAUUAAGUCCUUCCCUAUUCUUCAAACAGUUUGUGGACAUGUAGGAGAAUGGAUCUAUCAUUCAUCUUUUCAUGUUGUCUCUGUACCUCAUGAGUCAUGAAGCCCAACAUAUAACAUUGAACAAAGGUAGAGUUAUCUAUGUACUUCACGUAGUAAGCGAUCUCAUCCUCGCUUACCCCUUCCUCGGGCGUAGGUAUCACUAUAUCAAGGACGUAUGCAAUUUUCUCCAUUGUGAGAACAAUUCUCAAGUUGCAGAGUCAAUCCAUAUAAUUUGGACUAGCGAGGCGAUUAACAUCAAGUAUGCCAUGUAAGGGACUUGAAAGUGAUAUUUUCUAAAAAUAAAAUAAAUAACAUACAGUGGACUUCUAUCUUAAUAUGCUCCCACUAUUUUACUAGUGAGACACGUAACACCCUCAACACAUGAAACGGAUGUCUCCAACAGACUUCUAGUGGGGAUCAGGAUCUAAUCAAUGUCUUAGUAUAAUCUGGGGAUCACACUAAGCCCAAAAGGUAGGCAACUCUUGUCGAUCACAACUCCUUAUGAUUCUCAUCCUAUUCGGCCUCUGAAUCACCAUGGUCUCGAGGGACUCGACCAAUCAUAGUGUUCGGUUAAGUUAACACCAUCGUUACAAGAUGAGUCUGAUUUGAUGAUAUACCCUCGAGGGACUCGAUUAAACAUACCAUGUCCUCAAGUCACUAGUGACAUCUCUAUGUCGUAGGCAAGAUAGCGAAUCGCGAUAUAGAUGAGCCUCGAGGGACUCGACCAACUCAACAUAGACCGAGAAUUGGUCCCUACCUAUAACGAUGGAAGGCCACGUGGGCCAAUAUGACAUGUCAAGAGAGGGGUUUCUUUAAUUUAGUCUCAUAAUAUGACAUGUCACACACAUACAUAUUUAAUAUAUAUCUAUAUCACAUGUAAAUAUAUAUAUACAUAUCUAGUAGGUAUAUAAACAAUCACACAUCACAUGAGCAAUUACACUAGAUGAUCAUGGACCACAGCCUAAUGUGAUCAGGCCCGAGCCAGUGGGCCUAAUCACUCACAUCAAGAUCUAUGUGUGUAGCGGUGCAUCUCCAUGUCUUGUGAUCAUCCAUCUCAUCCUCGUUAAUUCCGUCGGCAUCUCGACGCAUCUCCAUGCAUCACGAUCAUCCGUCUCAUGGGUCCCGCUAUCGUAUCCACCCACGCUCCCGCUGCACCUUCUCGCAUGAUUACAACUUAAUCAUAGGCACGCAAACUCAAUAAUAAACAAGAAAUAAAAUAGAGGGUCGUAGGCCCCAAUAAUAAUAAUCACAAGUACACACAUCUCGUCCUUGUCGGUUCCGUCGGCAUCUCGACGCAUCUCCAUGCAUCGCGAUCGUCCGUCUGGUGGGUCUCGCUAUCGUAUCCACGCUCCCACUGCACCUCCUCACAUGACUAUAACUUAAUCAUAGGCACGCAAACUCGAUAAUAAACGAGAAAUAAAAUGGAGGCUCGCAGGCCCCAAUAAUAAUAAUCACAAGUGCACACAUCACAUGGUCUAUGAUUAUCUGUCCGCACAUCAUAUAUCACAUGUGUAAAUCAUCAUCAUGUAGGACUACUAGAUAAUAAUAAAAAUAAUAAUCAAUUAAACCUUUUAAUUAAUUAAUAUUUUUUAAAAUCAGGGAUAGGUAGGGAAUUUUCUUAUUUAUGAGGGGUAUUUUCAUAAUUUGGACAAAGGACAAAACUUAGAAUUUCUAAAAAUCUGAGGGGCAAAGCUAUCUUUUAGCUAGAAAACCCUAACCCUUCUCUUCUCCCUGCUUACUGUGACCACCGCCACCUUGCCGACAGUAGCUGUGCGGUGGGGGGGCGUGGCCCUUGCUUGCGGGCGGCUCGCCCACGGGCAUUGUGCCUGUAGAUGGCGUCGCUGCCCUAUGGUACCUCAGCCUAUGGGCGCAGCGCCGCCCAUGGGGGCUCGCGUGUGGGCCCAAUGGUGGCAAGCGCCGCCUACUCCCAUGGGUCCAGCACCCGCAAGCACCGUCCUUACGCCCGGGAGAAAUGCCCUUGCGCAGGUGGCCACCGUGCUUGUGGCCCCUGCUUGCGGGCGCCGCUGUAGGCAGUCGUGCCCACGUGCAAGUGGCUGCCACUAUAGCAGCUCGUCGGCCACCAGUCGAGAGCCUGCAUAUAGAUGACAGUGCUACCAUUUGUGAGGGCAACAAGGGUAGCAAUAAUUGCUGCCCUUUCUCGCUUUACUAUCAAUGAUUUUGAUGUCAAAAGCUUCUCCAAAACAUAAUACACGCAGUUCAAAACCAAUUUUCGCAUGAACAACCUGGCUCUGAUACUACUAUUGGAAAAUCUUUGGGGCGACAUCACAUGCGUAGCGGAAGAACAUUAAAAAUAAAAUCCCCAAUUUCCCAAAUAUGUUUUCGUCAUCGUGCGAAGAUUGGUGCGCAAAAUCCGUGAAACUUAAAACUGCGUAUAUGAAAGAUUGUGUUACCUAGGUAAAUCAUAUAUCCCUGAAUCCCUGUAGAUCUUUAGGAGAGGGUGAAGGAGGUCAAGCGUCCUCCUCUCUAGCGAUGAUCCACAUAACAAGGCUGCGACGAUGCUCCUAAAAAACUCCAAGUUUGCUCUGAUGAGGAGAUGGGGAGGAGAAUAUAAGAGGCAAACAAAAAGGGCUCUAGCCUAUGAACCACUGGUUCCAUCCUAUUUAUAGAGGUCCCCUAUCAAAUUAACCCUAAUGGAUCCUGCUCUAUUGGGUAUUAGAUCUCUAUCCAACUACCUAAGCCUCUUAGAUUAAUGAGUCUCUAUCCAAUAAUCUCUCAUUGGCUUUUAUUGGAUCCCAUCCAAAGGAUCCAAUAAUUCAGGGGCUUAUUGGAUAUCCAAUAAGAUAGGAGCUGCGACAGAUAUCUCAUAUCUGAACCUCUACUCAUCGCAAUGCCUAUCAUAUGUAUGUGACCCUCUAGGCCAAAUAUCGAGCUGGUCGUGAGUUAUAUCUGUUAGAACUCUUUUUGGCUCAGUAAAUUAUUAUCUCUAUAAUAAUUCACGCGACUCAUCAACUACGGACAUACUAGGCUAUUACGCCGUAGUCCCUAGAUGAUACAGGUGAAUCCAAUCCAUUGGACUUGUCAGUCCUUAAUUGUCGUAUACCUAUAGUCCCUCAUCUAUAUAAUAUCCUAGAAACUGUAUAAUAGGCAUGGUGUUGUUAGAUCCACACGGUUUCUAAUCGAGUCUCCGAAUUCUCCUAAAGAAAUCUUUCUCUAUCAAUCCGAAUGACCCUAGCCAGGGAUUUGUUUGAGCAAGAACACAUGGGAUAUUCCUCUCAUAACACCAAGAGUGGAUGAUCCUCUAUUGACACGCAAUAGUCCUCGUAAGGUUGGCUACUACUCCCGAUGAUCGAUUAUACUAGAUCUGAAACCUCCAGACCUAUAAGUCCGGUAUCAAAAAAUGGUGUACUCAUACAGGACAUCCUUAGUAUCUCAAGUUUAAGGCAUCAUCAAUCAUCCAACAUUUUAUAUGCGGAUUAAUCAGUGAACUCAUUCCCCAAUGAGUACUUGUAUUGUAUUCCUAGUAUCCCUAUACGAGUAGCUAUGAGACCAACUACAUUCAUCAUAUGGACGGGUAUACAGCACACUAGUCUGUUCGAUUAUCUCGAUGUCUCUCUUGAGUAACAUAUGACCGGGAUUAUUUAGAAUCUGUGUUUAAAAGAGAAUCGAUCUCUAUAAUAAUUCACUCGACUCAUCAACUACGAACAUACUAGGCUAUUACGUCGUAGUCCCUAGAUGAUACAGGUGAAUCCAAUCCAUUAGACUUGUCUGUCCUUAAUUGUCGUAUACCUAUAGUCCCUCAUCUAUAUAAUAUCCUAGAAACUGUAUAAUAGGCAUGGUGUUGUCCGAUCCACACGGUUUAUAAUCGAGUCUCCGAAUUCUCCUAGAGAAAUCUUUCUCUCUCAAUCCGAAUGACCCUAGCCAGGGAUUUGUCUAAGAAAGAACAUAUGGGAUAUUCCUCUCAUGACACCAAGAGUGGAUGAUCCUCUAUUGACAUGCAAUAGUCCUCGUAAGGUUGGCUACUACUCCCGAUGAUCGAUUGUACUAUAUCUGAAACCUCCAGACCUAUAAGUCUGGUAUCAAAGAAUGAAGUACUCAUACAGGACAUCCUUAGUAUCUCAAGUUUAAGGCAUCAUCAAUCAUCCAACAUUCCGUAUGCGAUCAAUCAGUAAACUCAUUCCCCAAUGAGUACUUGUAUUGUAUUCCUAGUAUCCUCAUACGAGUAGCUAUGAUACCAACUGCAUUCAUCAUAUGGAUGGGUAUACAGCACACUAGUCUGUUCGGUUAUCUCGAUGUCCCUCUUGAGUAACAUAUGACCGAGAUUAUUUAGAAUUUGUGUUUAAAGGAGAAUCGAUCUCAUUAUCGUGAUCUCAUCACAAUCCGAUUCCUAUUGCACAGAUCCAUAGACAUCACAAUAUAUUCAAGUGAUAAAAUGUUAAAUAAUAAUAAUAAGUAAAAAGACUAUGUGGCAGGUCACACGUGCCAUCAUUCUUACAUACCACUUAUGACUAACAAUCUCUCACUGAUCUAAAGCGAAUCACUUAUGUGUUUGAUCUCCAUCAAUUCAAAGUUACGUCCACGAGUAACAUUCUUUAUUAUUGAUAAAUAUAAUAAUUCAAUUCAGGUUUAUUUUCUUUAUGAUUAAUAGGAUUCAGAUCAUAGCAUUAAUAUCACAUAAACCAAAUUUCAUGGGGACACAUUAAUUCCCACAUUUAAAACCUUGCAACUGACGAUAAAGUUGAACGAAUUGUAUCAUCACUUGAGCAAAAAGUUGUUUGUGGAGUCCUUUCACGUCUAACGGAGAUAGGGAGUCAUGAGGAGAAAAGGGAAAAUUGGAUUGUAUACGAAACUACUGUUUGUAUACAAUCAUAUUCCAUUUUGGCCUGCAGCUCCAUCACGUGAUGGCAAACCUUGGUGAGAAACUGGCUGAUGAGGAGGACGAUGAGAUGACAAGAGAAGCCGACGUCGAUGGUGACGGACAGGUGAACUAUCUGUUGUUGGCCAAGAGAAGUCUGCACGGAUGAUGUUGGCCAAGUGAGACUUACAUCAGCUCAUAGGACCCUUGUGGGUGGUUGUCAACCAGUAGCAGUGACAUAUUGGAUUUGUCCCCUUCUUCGCUGUCGGAAGUGGAUGAUCGGUGCAAAUUAAAUCAUGUUAUGGGACGAGUCUGUUCGCUAUCAUACAGGCUUACUUGUACUUGUAGGCAGAAGUACUAGUGAAUUGUUUUCAGAAUCCUUUAGUUCGAUGUAGCCUUCCAUCUAAAUUCUAUGUUCUGUAUCAGUUUUCACAAAUUUUAAUGUCGUUGUUUUAGCUGUUAGACAUUAGAUUAAGCCGUUGUUUUACCUGAUGAAAUAUAUUAAAUGUUUUAUUAAAUUAUUGAUCAAGAAUCAUAAUCAUGAGAGGUUAUUUUGAUGGGAGAGACUCUUUCAAGUUAACUCUACCUAGCUUUAUUUGCUCUCGUUAGGAUUCCAAUUCUCAUAACCGAUCCUCGAUAUUAAUAUUAUAAUAGUCCCAUGUGAAAAGAAAAAAAAAGAAUGAUAUAGUUAUUCACGUACAAAUCUCUUGAGAUUUUAAUUCCAUAAUAAUGUCCAAUAGAUUCUUUGUUUUUUUUAUUUAUGUUAAUUAAAUUUUAAUCCUGAUUAGAUUUUUUGUUUCGUAUGAUGACAGUAUACUCUAACAUGAAUGAGAAACAGAAAGAAAAACCAGAACCACGAUGAAGCAGGUUUUUUUUGUUUUUUUAUGAUUCUCGAUUCUAACAUAUAUAUGAGAAUCUUUGUUUUACAUCCAAAGAACACGACAUGAGAUAGGUUUGUCUUCCCCGCCCAUUACUUAUUUAUAUCUCACCAUCCCACAGCUCUGCCGUGGAUUUGUAGGGGCCAUCAUCAGACACGAAAUCCCAGCCAGCGUACCCUUUGCGCUGUGGAAUCUGACCAAUCUUAUGCUUCUCUUCUUCGCUCAGCUCCCAAUCCAGUAUGUCCAGGUUUUCCACCAUCCUCUCCUCGUUGAAACUCUUCACCAGAACACAGUCUCCUUGCUCGUACACCCACCUCAAGCAGACCUGUCCCCUCGUUCACAAUGCGUUUGAUUCAAAACCCAUCUUGUUUGUGUAUGUGUAUGUGUAUGUUUACCGCACAGUCAUUACCUGAGCAAGAGUCUUCCCCUUGGCCGCAGCUAUGUCUUUGAGGACACCACAGUCCAUGACACAGUUUUGCCCCCAGUACGUUUCUUUGGCCCCCAAGGGCGAGUAGGCACACACCUGAAUCCCCUUAGCCACACAAAACUCCCUCAGCUUCUGCUGUUGCCACAGAGGGUUCACCUCCACCUUAUUCUCACACAACAGUACGCGUGAUCCAACCAUCUCCAAGAUCGAAUCAAACAUCUAGUUGGGUUAUAUGAUCAGUACCUGAUUGACAGCAGGAGGGAUCUUGGCAAUGGAGAGUAGCGUUUCCAGCUUCUUGGAGGAGAAGUUGCUAACGCCUAUGGACUUGGUUAGCCCGAGAGCGUGGCACUCCUCCAUGGCCCUCCACACUGCGCUCAUGUCGAUGGGCAAGAGGUCCUCUUUCGCCAGCGGUAUCUCGUACUUUCCCGGCCUUGUACUUACCGGCCAGUGUACGAGGUAGAGGUCGAGGUACUCCAGCUGCAGGUUGCUGAAACACGGGGAAGAUGGGGGUAGAAGGCAAGGCGUUACGUCGAACUUGAAGGUUGAGAUGAGUUUGGAGGUCUACCGAAGAGUCUUUUGGAGGGCGGAGUGGACAAGAUGAGGGUGGGCGUCGCUGCACCACAGCUUGGAGGUGAUGAAGAGCUCGUCGCGGGAGCG